AUUGCCUCCCCUGGGGACACCCACGCCUGCUGCUGCCUGAGCCAUGAGUUUGAACAAAGAGAGCAGAGGCAGCAGCUCUCCUCACCUCUAGACAUUUAGUUCAGCUACCUGAGUGCUGGAGAGCCAGGCCUCCAACCCACCACAUGCAGCGUCCUACAACCCGGUAAAGAGAGGUGAGGAGCCUCCUAGGUCCCUGUAGCUAGGGAGCAGGGCUGCCCAGCAGAGGAUGAGGUGGAAAUGUAAAGAAUGGAGUUACCCUUGGAAUCCAUUUAACUUCGUUAAUUCCUCAAAGACCGUAUAAGGCGUCGCCGUCUGCUUUACAGUAGAAGAAACCUUUGCAGUAGCUUGCCUGCAGUUACCCAGUAAACAGCAAGACAGAGGUUCUGUACAUCAUGUGCUCUGGUUCUAGCUAGAAAUCUGCAAUUCAGCACAGAUGAGGUAGAACUGUAGCAGAGAAGAUGUAGGGAUGCAACGGGCAGAGCCACGUGCGAUGGCCAGCCGUGGUGAAGGACAGGGAUGUGGCCUGGCUGGAGUGAAGUAAGAAGGCCUCCGUGACUCUUGUGCAUAGAGCAGUUCAGAUUUAAACAUGCAGGAAACCACACAGGGCCAGUAAGAGACCAGAUGGUUGUGCGUUUGGAUGGGGACCUCAGAGACACGAAGAGGAGGGUAAGAGAGGCGCAGACAGGAAAGAUUUGGAGCCCAACCACAAAGGACCUUAAAUGUCAGCAAAGGAGUUUGUGCCUAACUGCAGGAAGUGAGUCACCAAAGGCCUCUGAAUGUGUAACACGUUAGCAAUGGUCCUUUGAGACUAGGAGGCUGGUAGAGGUGUCCCUGGACCGGGACAGCAGUGAGUGGUAAGAACUGUGGAACUGUGUUCAGGGGCUAGAAACAGUGACUCACGUGGAGGUGACGCUGGGCCACCCUAAGAGGUGGUAUUGGAAAGCACAGGAAUCAUGGCCUGGAAGGUCAGAACUCAUGGGCUUGGUCCAGCUCUCAGGAGACUGAACAGGAGUAUCGUGAGUUCAAACUCAGCCCGAGCUACAUGGAACCAAGGGUUAUCUAGUAUCCCCCUGGCCCCCGCCUCUCCAGUGUCUCGGUUACAGGUGUUGGCUGCCAUGCCUGGCUUUAUGGAUGUCGUGGACUGAAUCUAAGGCUUCCUGCAUGCUAGGCAUCCUCAUCCUUGGGUUUUUUGCUUUUGUUUUUUAAUUGUUUUUUUAUUUUUAUUUUUUAAAUUGGAAUUGAAGAAAUGACUCAGUAGUUAAGAGCACUAGCUGUUCUUCCAAAGGACUUAGGUUUGAUUUCCGGGACCCACAUGGCAGCUUAAACCUGUAACUCCAGUUUCAAAGGAUUUGACCCUUUUGUCUGGUCUCUGUAGGCACCAGGGAUGUAAGGAGUACACAGAUGUACAUGCAGGAAAAACACCCAUGCACAUAAAAUAAUCAACUAAUAAAACAUUGCAUUUACUUGUGUGUUGGGUAGAAGCAGACCAUGGUGUGCAUGUGAGACAAGAAUACAGCUUGCAGGAGCUGGUAUUCCUUCCACCAUAAGGGUCUUGGGGAUGGGACACUGCUUGUCAGGUCGUAGCAUGAGUUAUCUCACCCUAGUUUUGCUUUUGGAGACAGGGUCUCACACUGUACCCCGGUCUGCCCUGUGUACUUCUGUCAGUAAUCUUGUCUCAUCCUCCCGGGACUACAAAUAUGAACCGCCACAUUCAGUUUUGGACUGCUUUUUAAUAUUCCAUUCUUAUUUUCUGUGUAUGGUAUGGGUGUUUUACGUCAGUACAUCGUGUGCGUGCAAUACCUGUGGAGUCCACAAGGGGGCAUUGGAUGCCCCGGAACUGGAGUUAGAGACUGUUGUAAGUCACCACGUGGGUGCUAAUGACUGGGUCCUCUGCAAGAGUAGCCAGUGCUUUUAACUAGUGAGCCAUCUCACCAGCCUCCCAGGUUUGGGUUAUCACCAUGGGAUUUAUUGCUUGUUCAGAGACCAAAUAAGAAUAAAACCGCUCUCUUACUCUUACUCCUUUGUUCCUUCACCUCUCACUUCUCUCACUUCUCUCUUCCCUUUCUCUUUGUCUUCUUCUUUCCUCUCCUCUUUCUCUUUCUCUCUAGCCUUUCUCUCUCUCUCUCCCCCUCUCUCUUUUCUACCUUCUCUCUUUCCCCUGUAUUUCUAUAAUAAAGCUCUUAAACCA
rnacentral:lncRNA from 1 species